rnacentral:rRNA from 1 species
CUACGGGCGGCAGCAGUGAGGAAUAUUGCACAAUGGGGGGAACCCUGAUGCAGCAACGCCGCGUGGAGGAUGACGCAUUUCGGUGUGUAAACUCCUUUUAUAUGUCAAGAAAAUGACGGUAGCAUAUGAAUAAGCACCGGCUAACUCCGUGCCAGCAGCCGCGGUAAUACGGAGGGUGCAAGCGUUACUCGGAAUCACUGGGCGUAAAGGACGCGUAGGCGGGUUGGUAAGUCUGAUGUGAAAUCCUACAGCUUAACUGUAGAACUGCAUUGGAAACUACUAACCUAGAGUAUGGGAGGGGGAGAUGGAAUUAGUGGUGUAGGGGUAAAAUCCGUAGAUAUCACUAGGAAUACCGAAAGCGAAGGCGAUCUCCUGGAACAUUACUGACGCUAAGGCGUGAAAGCGUGGGGAGCAAACGGGAUUAGAUACCCCAGUAGUC